rnacentral:rRNA from 1 species
GACGAACGCUGGCGGCGUGCUUAACACAUGCAAGUCGAACGGAGAAUUUAUUUCGGUAAAUUCUUAGUGGCGAACGGGUGAGUAACGCGUGGGCAACCUGCCCUUCAGAUGGGGACAACAUCCCGAAAGGGGUGCUAAUACCGAAUACGAUCACGCUGCCGCAUGGCGGUGUGAUGAAAGAUGGCCUCUAUUUAUAAGCUAUCGCUGAAGGAUGGGCCUGCGUCUGAUUAGCUAGUUGGUGGGGUAACGGCCUACCAAGGCGAUGAUCAGUAGCCGGUCUGAGAGGAUGAACGGCCACAUUGGGACUGAGACACGGCCCAAACUCCUACGGGAGGCAGCAGUGGGGAAUAUUCCGCAAUGGACGAAAGUCUGACGGAGCAACGCCGCGUGAGUGAUGAAGGUUUUCGGACUGUAAAACUCUGUUGUUUAGGACGAGAGUGCCUGUUGCAAAUAGUUGCAGGUAUUGACGGUACUGAACGAGGAAGCCACGGCUAACUACGUGCCAGCAGCCGCAGUAA